rnacentral:lncRNA from 1 species
GAGAAAUAAGAACUUCAGAGGACAUGGAUACAGACCAGUCAAUGUAUUGAGUGGACAGUGCACUGAAGCCAGGGACACAUCCCAGUCACAGGUGUGACACAAUAGCCUGGGGGUCUUGUGGAUCACAGGUGUCCUGUCCCAGGUGCAGCCACAGGAGUCAGGACCUGGCCUGGUGAAGCCCUU